UACGGAGGGUGCGAGCGUUAAUCGGAAUUACUGGGCGUAAAGCGCACGCAGGCGGUUUGUUAAGCAAGAUGUGAAAGCCCCGGGCUCAACCUGGGAACUGCAUUUUGAACUGGCAGACUAGAGUCUUGGAGAGGGGGGUGGAAUUCCAGGUGUAGCGUGAAUGCGUAGAGAUCUGGAGGAACAUCAGUGGCGAGGCGGCCCCUGGCCAAAGACUGACGCUAUGUGCGAAAGUGUGGGUAGCGAACAGGAUUAGAUACCCGGUAGUCC
rnacentral:rRNA from 1 species